AUGUGGCGCCGCCUCCAAACCCUAGCCCCCGCCCUCCACCGCGCUGCCGCCGCAGCCGGCGCGGCCCCCUCCCCGGCCAGCGCCCGGGCCGCUCCCCUCUCCACGGCGGUCGCGGCCUUCCGCCGCACUGGGCCCCUCCUCUCUGCGGACAAGCCGGCGGCGGCAGGGACGAGUGUGGAGGACGUCAUGCCCAUAGCCACGGGGUUGGAGCGCGAGGAGCUCGAGGCGGAGCUCCAGGGGAAGAAGCGCUUCGACAUGGAUCCUCCUGUCGGUCCCUUCGGUACCAAGGAGGCACCAGCCGUCAUUGAGUCCUAUUUUGACAAGAGAAUAGUAGGUUGCCCUGGUGAUGAAGGAGAGGAUGAGCAUGACGUCAUAUGGUUCUGGUUGAAAAAAGAUGAGCCACAUGAAUGCCCAGUCUGCUCACAAUACUUUGUGCUUAAGGUCAUUGGUGAUGGUGGAAAUCCAGAUGGGCAUGAUGAUGAUGAUGAUGGUCAUCACCACUAA
rnacentral:rRNA from 1 species